CUGAGCCACCCAGGUACCCCAUAUAAACUUUUUUUAGAUUGAUAUAUUGAAUCAUGCUUAUCCCUCUUAUUAGUUAUGUGCAACUAUAUACUAGCAAUUGAGAUGUGGAAAUAUCUUUAGUUCUCAUAUUUAUUAAUUGUUCCGUCACCAAAUUUGCAGACAAAUAUUAGUUUUGCUUAAUCACUGAAAGAAAUUUUAAAGAUUGAAUAAUUUUCCUAACAUUCACUGAGUUAGUGUAGGCAGAAAGACCCUGUUAGUGAUAUUUUUAGCUCUCAGUUACCAGUCUUCAUGUUAUCCUAACAUUCCCAUGAGUUUUAGUCAAAAUUUUUGUUUUUUACUAUAACAAAGUCAAAUACUUUAAAACUUAGGUAUCAUGGAACAAGUUCAGAUAAUGAAGUGCCAACUGGGUUUUGGCACCAUUCCUUACAUAUUUGUCAUCAAGAGUCAAAAGUAAUAGGAAAGAAAUCAGGCAGAUAAAAGCAGUUUGGUUUCACAGGAACGGAACGGACGUUGUACAGUCAGUGCUGUGGAAUUCUGAAUUCCGCCACUACAACUACCGCUACCAUCCUCUCUAAUCAGUUUCAGCAGAUGUGUAGGGUUGAAUUAACAUCCGGAAAUUCUCUACUACAACGAAACUAAACAUUUCUGCCUAAGUCUCCGAUAUUUAGUCAUAGGUCAUAUUUAUUUAUUUUACGUUCUGAAACUAUUAUACAUGGCCUGUCAUUUAAUUACUUUCAAUCAGUAUUCCCUUGUUGAGUUUUGUCAGGAAGGCUGCCCGGUCUUUUGACCAACUAACAUGGUAUUAGGAGGCAUUUAGAAGAGAGUAUUAUGCUUCUUUUUAUAACAGUGUUUCCAAAGUCAAAGUUUUAACCAGAUUCUCUUUGUCUGCCUCUCUGAUUUCACUGACUUGAGUAAAAGUUGAUUCUGUUUUAAGGUAAUCUCUCUGUUAUGUUUAACAACCGAGUAUACCAUUUUUUUUUUUUUUAUGUGGACUUGGAGGGAAUUCACCAUAUCUGUUAUAGAAGAGAUACUACUUUGCCUAGAAAACAUGUGAAGUGUGUAUACUACACUUGAGAUCUCCAUAGGCUAGAAUGAAGAGCCCUCGAAUGGAUGGAAGAUAAUCUUUCCAGGACAAGAAUGAAAAUACUGAAAUGUGGCAGGAUUUCUAAGAGAAUGAAAGCCAAGAAACACUGAAAACACAGUUUUGAGAUUUCCGGUUUAAUUUCCAGGACAAAGAGAUUCAUUGUCAGUUUAUAUCAUCUUUGCUACAUGGAUACCUGGAUCAACAAAAGCUGUUGACCUCUGUGGGGUCACCCAGUGCCCCAUUUUGGCUCUGAUUUUGCACUACUCUUCACAGUAGUGAAGUGCUGGGAUGAGGCCAGGCUUUCUUUACCACAUUGGCUUCUAAUCAUUCCCAAAGGAAGAACUGGAAAAUAUUUGGGAUUUUUCUUCUAUACUUUCACAUUAGUUUAUUCUCAGAGCAAUUAUCAUUUGUGUUUUGAGCCACAUAUUGGGUAAAGAUGGAAGAAGCAUUUAACUACAUUUUUUCCCUAAAGAGCAAUAUCAUAUUUUUGUUAGUAUAGUGCUUUGUUUUCUUUUGCUUUGACACAUGGCUUCUGUAAAAAUUUCAGUGUUUUCCUUUGGACUUAAGUACCCAAUUUAAGGGAAUAAAAACAAAAACCAG